rnacentral:rRNA from 1 species
CAGCCGCCGCGGUAAUACGUAGGGUGCGAGCGUUAAUCAGAAUUACUGGGCGUAAAGCGUGCGCAGGCGGUUCGCUAAGACAGAUGUGAAAUCCCCGGGCUUAACCUGGGAACUGCAUUUGUGACUGGCGGGCUAGAGUAUGGCAGAGGGGGGUAGAAUUCCACGCGUAGCAGUGAAAUGCGUAGAGAUGUGGAGGAAUACCGAUGGCGAAGGCAGCCCCCUGGGCCAAUACUGACGCUCAUGCACGAAAGCGUGGGGAGCAAACAGGAUUAGAUACCCGCGUAGUCCCUGUCUCUUAUAC